UAGCGCAGCCUGGUAGCGCACUUGCAUGGGGUGCAAGGGGUCGAGUGUUCGAAUCACUCCGUCCCGACCA
rnacentral:tRNA from 1 species